CCUACGGGAUGCAGCAGUAGGGAAUCUUCCACAAUGGGCGAAAGCCUGAUGGAUCAACGCCGCGUGGGUGAAGAAGGUCUUCGGAUCGUAAAACCCUGUUGUUAGAGAAGAAAGUGCGUGAGAGUAACUGUUCACGUUUCGACGGUAUCUAACCAGAAAGCCACGGCUAACUACGUGCCAGCAGCCGCGGUAAUACGUAGGUGGCAAGCGUUAUCCGGAUUGAUUGGGCGUAAAGGGAACGCAGGCGGUCUUUUAAGUCUGAUGUGAAAGCCUUCGGCUUAACCGGAGUAGUGCAUUGGAAACUGGGAGACUUGAGUGCAGAAGAGGAGAGUGGAACUCCAUGUGUAGCGGUGAAAUGCGUAGAUAUAUGGAAGAACACCAGUGGCGAAAGCGGCUCUCUGGUCUGUAACUGACGCUGAGGUUCGAAAGCGUGGGUAGCAAACAGGAUUAGAUACCCGGGUAGUC
rnacentral:rRNA from 1 species